GCCCGGCGAAAGCCGGAUUAAUACCGCAUAAUCUCUGAGGAGGAAAGUGGGGGACCUUCGGGCCUUACGCUGAUGGAGCGGCUGAUGUCGGAUUAGCUUGUUGGUAGGGUAAAGGCCUACCAAGGCGACGAUCCGUAGCUGGUCUGAGAGGACGACCAGCCACACUGGAACUGAGACACGGUCCAGACUCCUACGGGAGGCAGCAGUGGGGAAUUUUGGACAAUGGGGGCAACCCUGAUCCAGCCAUGCCGCGUGCGGGAAGAAGGCCUUCGGGUUGUAAACCGCUUUCAGACGGAAAGAAACAGUACAAGCUAAUACCUUGUACGAAUGACGGUACCGUCAGAAGAAGCACCGGCUAACUACGUGCCAGCAGCCGCGGUAAUACGUAGGGUGCGAGCGUUAAUCGGAAUUACUGGGCGUAAAGAGUGCGCAGGCGGCUCUCUAAGACAGGUGUGAAAUCCCCGGGCUUAACCUGGGAAUGGGCGCUUGUGACUGGAGAGCUAGAGUGUGGCAGAGGGGAAUGGAAUUCCUGGUGUAGCAGUGAAAUGCGUAGAUAUCAGGAGGAACACCGAUGGCGAAGGCAGUUCCCUGGGCCAACACUGACGCUCAUGCACGAAAGCGUGGGGAGCAAACAGGAUUAGAUACCCUGGUAGUCCACGCCCUAAACGAUGUCAACUAGUUGUUGGGGAAGGAGACUUCUUUAGUAACGUAGCUAACGCGUGAAGUUGACCGCCUGGGGAGUACGGCCGCAAGGUUAAAACUCAAAGGAAUUGACGGGGACCCGCACAAGCGGUGGAUGAUGUGGAUUAAUUCGAUGCAACGCGAAAAACCUUACCUACCCUUGACAUGUGAGGAACUUGUGAGAGAUCACUUGGUGCCCGAAAGGGAACCUCAACACAGGUGCUGCAUGGCUGUCGUCAGCUCGUGUCGUGAGAUGUUGGGUUAAGUCCCGCAACGAGCGCAACCCUUGUCAUUAGUUGCUACAUUUAGUUGAGCACUCUAAUGAGACUGCCGGUGACAAACCGGAGGAAGGUGGGGAUGACGUCAAGUCCUCAUGGCCCUUAUGGGUAGGGCUUCACACGUCAUACAAUGGCGCGUACAGAGGGUUGCCAACCCGCAAGGGGGAGCUAAUCCCAGAAAGCGCGUCGUAGUCCGGAUUGUUCUCUGCAACUCGAGAACAUGAAGUCGGAAUCGCUAGUAAUCGCGGAUCAGCAUGUCGCGGUGAAUACGUUCCCGGGUCUUGUACACACCGCCCGUCACACCAUGGGAGUAGGUUUCACCAGAAGUAGCUAGCCCAACCGUAA
rnacentral:rRNA from 1 species